AGCCUGGACUUGCAGAGGGACCCAGAAUCCAGAGUGGAUGAACGCACAAGUAACCAUCAGCAUGAAUGAUAUAAUACGGUUGGUGUUUACUGGCCAUAGAAACAGCAACAGCCGAGGAUUCAUGGCCAUCGAUGACAUUACAGUGAGGGAAGGGGCCUGCAGUAAUCAGAAUAUGUGUGGGUUUGAGUCCAGCUUCUGUGGCUUUGAGAACGAUGUCAGUCAUAGGGGUCACUGGAGUCGCAAAAGGG